GGCCUAAUAGUUUAACAGGAUAAAACACGGACCUCCUAAGUCUAAGCUCCCGGUUCAAGUCCGGGUUGGGCCA
rnacentral:tRNA from 1 species